rnacentral:lncRNA from 1 species
AAUAUGUAGCUUAGGAAACAUAAAUACAUACAUCUAUGCAGGAGUAGGUAAAGCCUAUAUAUUUACAUGAUGUAACCAAACCAGAGUCAUCACAGCCUGCACAGUGCCUUGCAGCCCCAAGCUGGGAAGCUUUCUGACCCUCUGGGUUGCCAUAUGAACAAAGACAUCAGCAACUCUGGGGACUAAAUGCUCCUGAGCAGAUGGCUUCUCCGGACACAGCCCCUAAUUUAGAAAUUGCACCAAAAAGCAUGUGGUGGACUGACAACUGGUGGUCAACUUGUAACACUCAGCUGACUGACAUUUCAACCCCUUUGAUCAUGAGCUAUCAUUCAAGCGAAGUUGGAAAGAAAUGGAAUAACAGCAAAUGUGAAAUGGACAGAUACUAUUUCCCUGGCAGUAGAGAAGAGGAUGCCAGGGAAAGACCCUUAAGGAGUUCAGAUGUAUGAAUUACACAAAGACAAAGACACUGAUGGCCAUGUACAACACAGGUGCAACAGAAAAAGAAUUGGAACUGUAAGUCCUGCAAAUAUCUUCAAAAGUAGUUACUUAGAAAUAGCUGAGCUAAUGCCCACCCCUUAGUCCCAGGGCUUCAUCACGUGACAGUCACAGCCUUUCCAAAGUUUCAGGUGUUAAAGGACACUGGCAGAGAUUUUACCAGGGAG